UACGUAGGGGGCGAGCGUUGUCCAGAUUUAUUGGGCGUAAAGAGCGUGUAGGCGGCCAGGUAGGUCUGCUGUGAAAACUCGAGGCUCAACCUCGAGACGUCGGCGGAAACCAUCUGGCUAGAGUCCGGAAGAGGAGAGUGGAAUUCCUGGUGUAGCGGUGAAAUGCGUAGAUAUCAGGAGGAACACCGGUGGCGAAGGCGCACAUCUGGCCCGAUACUGACGCUGAGGCGCGAAAGCUAGGGGAGCAAACGGG
rnacentral:rRNA from 1 species